rnacentral:rRNA from 1 species
AUGCUGAUGAAGUUUUUUGCUAUGGCUGAUGUAGCAGAGAUUAUGAAAAUCAAGACCUCACCAAGUUCAGAGGAUGUGUUAGCUUGGGCGCCUGGAAGGUUUGGUCAGUUUUCUGUCAAAAGUGCUUACGAUUUGGGCUUCGAAGAGGCUCAUAGAGAAAGUGAUGUAUCUUCAAGUAGUAUGCCAUCUGGGGCACGCUCGUGUUGGAACUAUAUUUGGUCUUGCAAAAUUCCACCAACGGUUCGCAACUUUGGGUGGCGCGUGGCCACUAAUUCUCUGCCUACUUGGCAGAGGAAGAACAGAAUUGGGAUUGAAACUACUGGAGUAUGCCCAAUAUGCGCAAGAGAAGUAGAGGAUACUUUCCAUCCUUUCAUGGUUUGCCCCGUGGAUCGGCAACUUUACAAAAAGAUGGCAACGGUGUGGAAUUUACCAGAGUUGCGUUCUGUGGUGAACUCUGGGAAAGAAUGGCUCCUUCGGGCUUUGGAACCGUUGGAUCACCUUGCAAGAUGUAAGCUACUAAUGACCCUGUGGAGAAUCUGGUAUGUUUGUAAUGAAAUUAUACAUAAUAAACCAGCCCCUCCACUUGAUGUCUCCGCUUGA